rnacentral:rRNA from 1 species
UCGUUUAUUUGAUAGUACCUUACUACUUGGAUAACCGUGGUAAUUCUAGAGCUAAUACAUGCUUAAAAUCCCGACUGUUUGGAAGGGAUGUAUUUAUUAGAUAAAAAAUCAAUGUCUUCGGACUCUUUGAUGAUUCAUAAUAACUUUUCGAAUCGCAUGGCCUUGUGCUGGCGAUGGUUCAUUCAAAUUUCUGCCCUAUCAACUUUCGAUGGUAGGAUAGUGGCCUACCAUGGUUUCAACGGGUAACGGGGAAUAAGGGUUCGAUUCCGGAGAGGGAGCCUGAGAAACGGCUACCACAUCCAAGGAAGGCAGCAGGCGCGCAAAUUACCCAAUCCCGACACGGGGAGGUAGUGACAAUAAAUAACGAUACAGGGCCCUUUCGGGUCUUGUAAUUGGAAUGAGUACAAUGUAAAUACCUUAACGAGGAACAAUUGGAGGGCAAGUCUGGUGCCAGCAGCCGCGGUAAUUCCAGCUCCAAAAGCGUAUAUUAAAGUUGUUGCAGUUAAAAAGCUCGUAGUUGAACCUUGGGCUUGGUUGGCCGGUCCAUCUUUCUGAUGCGUACUGGACCCAACCGAGCCUUUCCUUCUGGCUAGCCUUUUGGCGAACCAGGACUUUUACUUUGAAAAAAUUAGAGUGUUCA